UCUGUUGCUGUGUUGUCGGCCGUUUUGUUUUGAUUCCUUUUGUGUUGUCCGCCUUUCCCUUUUGAUUCCAUCUUUAUUUCGAUUUUCUCUCUGUGCUGUCUUUCUUUUCAGUGUUGCCAUAUUGUAGUGUCCUUUGUUCGUUACUUCUUUUUCUUUUCUCGGUGGCGUCGGUUGAAACAAAUAGAACAAAUGUGUAUAUGUGUGAUUUGAGAUUGUGCGUGAUUUAAAAGACUAAAAAAACAAUAAACAAAACCCGACCGCCAACAUAACCUCCAAUUAAUGGUCCAUGGAUAGAAAAGCCAUAUAUGUGUCUCCAGCAACUCGAGAAUAUUUUUCCAGCUGUAUUUAUUUGUACCCUGAUUCCAGGAAAGUAUUUUUUCUUGGAGGACGGAUUCCCUGGCACGGAUAUUGACUCCAAACGCCCCAAAGGACGGGAGUUUUCCAGAGCAAUACAUUGGAUACAUGAAUACGCAAUACCAUCAGCACGGCACGCACAUUUGAAUUCAAAUAUAGGAAAUUGGAAAUUUGUGAAGGAGAAGGGUAACUGGCAAAAGGAACAAACGAGAAGACCCAUAAUUCGAUCUGCAUAGAAUCA
rnacentral:sRNA from 1 species